rnacentral:rRNA from 1 species
CCUACGUGAGGCAGCAGUGAGGAAUAUUGGUUAAUGGGCGCGAGCCUGAACCAGCCAAGUCGCGUGAGGGAAGACGGUCCUAUGGAUUGUAAACCUCUUUUGUCGGGGAGCAAAAGACGCCACGCGUGGCGUUCCGAGAGUACCCGAAGAAAAAGCAUCGGCUAACUCCGUGCCAGCAGCCGCGUUAAUACGGAGGAUGCGAGCGUUAUCCGGAUUUAUUGGGUUUAAAGGGUGCGCAGGCGGAAGAUCAAGUCAGCGGUAAAAUUGAGAGGCUCAACCUCUUCGAGCCGUUGAAACUGGUUUUCUUGAGUGAGCGAGAAGUAUGCGGAAUGCGUGGUGUAGCGGUGAAAUGCAAAGAUAUCACGCAGAACUCCGAUUGCGAAGGCAGCAUACCGGCGCUCAACUGACGCUCAUGCACGAAAGUGUGGGUAUCGAACAGGAUUAGAUACCCUAGUAGUC